UUAGCUUAGUAAUUCUAACUUGCAUUUUGGGAAAAAAACUUAAUUAUUACUAAAUUCUAGUAAAAUUACAUAAAGAACUGUAGAAUUCCAGAGCAACCAAAUUAUGAUAUAAAUCUUACUAAUAUAGUAUAUUCUAGAUUUGGGGUUAAUUUAGAACUGACACAUUUUCCUACAAGAAACAAUUAAGGAAAUGUAAAACAGCGCUGGGAAUAUGGCCUAGUGGCAAGAGUGCUUGCCUCCUACACAU